rnacentral:rRNA from 1 species
CAGCCGCCGCGGGAAUACGAAGGGGGCUAGCGUUGCUCGGAAUUACUGGGCGUAAAGGGCGCGUAGGCGGACAGCUAAGUCGGGGGUGAAAGCCCGGGGCUCAACCUCGGAAUUGCCUUCGAUACUGGCUGUCUUGAGUACGGGAGAGGUGUGUGGAACUCCGAGUGUAGAGGUGAAAUUCGUAGAUAUUCGGAAGAACAUCAGUGGCGAAGGCGACACACUGGCCCGUUACUGACGCUGAGGCGCGAAAGCGUGGGGAGCAAACAGGAUUAGAUACCCCCGUAGUCCCUGUCUCUUAUAC